AUACGUAGGUGACAAGCGUUAUCCGGAUUUACUGGGCGUAAAGGGCGUGUAGGCGGUCUUGCAAGUCAGAAGUGAAAUUCCUGAGCUCAACUCGGGCGCUGCUUCUGAAACUGCAGGACUUGAGUGCUGGAGGGGAUAGCGGAAUUCCUAGUGGAGCGGUAAAAUGCGCAGAUAUUAGGAAGAACACCGGUGGCGAAGGCGGCUUUCUGGACAGUAACUGACGCUGAGGCGCGAAAGCGUGGGGAGCAAACAGGAUUAGAUACCCUGGUAGUCCACGCCGUAAGCGAUGAAUACUAGGUGUAGGGGGUAUCGACGCCCUCUGUGCCGCAGUUAACACAAUAAGUAUUCCGCCUGGGGAGUACGGCCGCAAGGUUGAAACUCAAAUGAAUUGACGGGG
rnacentral:rRNA from 1 species